UGUUCUGUAGCUUAGUUGGUUAAAGCGUCGGUCUAGCGUACCGUUGUGAGUUCGAGUCUCACUAUAACGC
rnacentral:tRNA from 1 species